rnacentral:rRNA from 1 species
GGGUUGUGAGGUUAAGCGACUAAGCGUACACGGUGGAUGCCCUGGCAGUCAGAGGCGAUGAAGGACGUGCUAAUCUGCGAUAAGCGUCGGUAAGGUGAUAUGAACCGUUAUAACCGGCGAUUUCCGAAUGGGGAAACCCAGUGUGUUUCGACACACUAUCAUUAACUGAAUCCAUAGGUUAAUGAGGCGAACCGGGGGAACUGAAACAUCUAAGUACCCCGAGGAAAAGAAAUCAACCGAGAUUCCCCCAGUAGCGGCGAGCGAACGGGGAGCAGCCCAGAGCCUGAAUCAGUGUGUGUGUUAGUGGAAGCGUCUGGAAAGGCGCGCGAUACAGGGUGACAGCCCCGUACACAAAAAUGCACAUGCUGUGAGCUCGAUGAGUAGGGCGGGACACGUGGUAUCCUGUCUGAAUAUGGGGGGACCAUCCUCCAAGGCUAAAUACUCCUGACUGACCGAUAGUGAACCAGUACCGUGAGGGAAAGGCGAAAAGAACCCCGGCGAGGGGAGUGAAAAAGAACCUGAAACCGUGUACGUACAAGCAGUGGGAGCACGCUUAGGCGUGUGACUGCGUACCUUUUGUAUAAUGGGUCAGCGACUUAUAUUCUGUAGCAAGGUUAACCGAAUAGGGGAGCCGAAGGGAAACCGAGUCUUAACUGGGCGUUAAGUUGCAGGGUAUAGACCCGAAACCCGGUGAUCUAGCCAUGGGCAGGUUGAAGGUUGGGUAACACUAACUGGAGGACCGAACCGACUAAUGUUGAAAAAUUAGCGGAUGACUUGUGGCUGGGGGUGAAAGGCCAAUCAAACCGGGAGAUAGCUGGUUCUCCCCGAAAGCUAUUUAGGUAGCGCCUCGUGAAUUCAUCUCCGGGGGUAGAGCACUGUUUCGGCAAGGGGGUCAUCCCGACUUACCAACCCGAUGCAAACUGCGAAUACCGGAGAAUGUUAUCACGGGAGACACACGGCGGGUGCUAACGUCCGUCGUGAAGAGGGAAACAACCCAGACCGCCAGCUAAGGUCCCAAAGUCAUGGUUAAGUGGGAAACGAUGUGGGAAGGCCCAGACAGCCAGGAUGUUGGCUUAGAAGCAGCCAUCAUUUAAAGAAAGCGUAAUAGCUCACUGGUCGAGUCGGCCUGCGCGGAAGAUGUAACGGGGCUAAACCAUGCACCGAAGCUGCGGCAGCGACGCUUAUGCGUUGUUGGGUAGGGGAGCGUUCUGUAAGCCUGCGAAGGUGUGCUGUGAGGCAUGCUGGAGGUAUCAGAAGUGCGAAUGCUGACAUAAGUAACGAUAAAGCGGGUGAAAAGCCCGCUCGCCGGAAGACCAAGGGUUCCUGUCCAACGUUAAUCGGGGCAGGGUGAGUCGACCCCUAAGGCGAGGCCGAAAGGCGUAGUCGAUGGGAAACAGGUUAAUAUUCCUGUACUUGGUGUUACUGCGAAGGGGGGACGGAGAAGGCUAUGUUGGCCGGGCGACGGUUGUCCCGGUUUAAGCGUGUAGGCUGGUUUUCCAGGCAAAUCCGGAAAAUCAAGGCUGAGGCGUGAUGACGAGGCACUACGGUGCUGAAGCAACAAAUGCCCUGCUUCCAGGAAAAGCCUCUAAGCAUCAGGUAACAUCAAAUCGUACCCCAAACCGACACAGGUGGUCAGGUAGAGAAUACCAAGGCGCUUGAGAGAACUCGGGUGAAGGAACUAGGCAAAAUGGUGCCGUAACUUCGGGAGAAGGCACGCUGAUAUGUAGGUGAAGUCCCUCGCGGAUGGAGCUGAAAUCAGUCGAAGAUACCAGCUGGCUGCAACUGUUUAUUAAAAACACAGCACUGUGCAAACACGAAAGUGGACGUAUACGGUGUGACGCCUGCCCGGUGCCGGAAGGUUAAUUGAUGGGGUUAGCGCAAGCGAAGCUCUUGAUCGAAGCCCCGGUAAACGGCGGCCGUAACUAUAACGGUCCUAAGGUAGCGAAAUUCCUUGUCGGGUAAGUUCCGACCUGCACGAAUGGCGUAAUGAUGGCCAGGCUGUCUCCACCCGAGACUCAGUGAAAUUGAACUCGCUGUGAAGAUGCAGUGUACCCGCGGCAAGACGGAAAGACCCCGUGAACCUUUACUAUAGCUUGACACUGAACAUUGAGCCUUGAUGUGUAGGAUAGGUGGGAGGCUUUGAAGUGUGGACGCCAGUCUGCAUGGAGCCGACCUUGAAAUACCACCCUUUAAUGUUUGAUGUUCUAACGUGGACCCGUAAUCCGGGUUGCGGACAGUGUCUGGUGGGUAGUUUGACUGGGGCGGUCUCCUCCUAAAGAGUAACGGAGGAGCACGAAGGUUGGCUAAUCCUGGUCGGACAUCAGGAGGUUAGUGCAAUGGCAUAAGCCAGCUUGACUGCGAGCGUGACGGCGCGAGCAGGUGCGAAAGCAGGUCAUAGUGAUCCGGUGGUUCUGAAUGGAAGGGCCAUCGCUCAACGGAUAAAAGGUACUCCGGGGAUAACAGGCUGAUACCGCCCAAGAGUUCAUAUCGACGGCGGUGUUUGGCACCUCGAUGUCGGCUCAUCACAUCCUGGGGCUGAAGUAGGUCCCAAGGGUAUGGCUGUUCGCCAUUUAAAGUGGUACGCGAGCUGGGUUUAGAACGUCGUGAGACAGUUCGGUCCCUAUCUGCCGUGGGCGCUGGAGAACUGAGGGGGGCUGCUCCUAGUACGAGAGGACCGGAGUGGACGCAUCACUGGUGUUCGGGUUGUCAUGCCAAUGGCACUGCCCGGUAGCUAAAUGCGGAAGAGAUAAGUGCUGAAAGCAUCUAAGCACGAAACUUGCCCCGAGAUGAGUUCUCCCUGAC